CCUACGGGUGGCAGCAGUCGAGAAUCAUUCACAAUGGGGGAAACCCUGAUGGUGCGACGCCGCGUGGGGGAAUGAAGGUCUUCGGAUUGUAAACCCCUGUCAUGUGGGAGCAAAUUAAAAAGAUAGUACCACAAGAGGAAGAGACGGCUAACUCUGUGCCAGCAGCCGCGGUAAUACAGAGGUCUCAAGCGUUGUUCGGAAUCACUGGGCGUAAAGCGUGCGUAGGCUGUUUCGUAAGUCGUGUGUGAAAGGCGCGGGCUCAACCCGCGGACGGCACAUGAUACUGCGAGACUAGAGUAAUGGAGGGGGAACCGGAAUUCUCGGUGUAGCAGUGAAAUGCGUAGAUAUCGAGAGGAACACUCGUGGCGAAGGCGGGUUCCUGGACAUUAACUGACGCUGAGGCACGAAGGCCAGGAGAGCGAGAGGGAUUAGAUACCCCGGUAGUC
rnacentral:rRNA from 1 species